rfam:Drosophila ananassae strain TSC#14024-0371.13 Ctg01_17331, whole genome shotgun sequence.
GAAGUCAAUGUCAAGUGUUGCCUGACUUACUACAAAAGUUAAUUGCACUGCACGCGCACGCCAAAAGGCC